UAACACGUAGGGAGCAAGCGUUGUCCGGAUUUAUUGGGCGUAAAGAGCUCGUAGGCGGUUUAGUAAGUCGGGUGUGAAAACUUGAGGCUCAACCUCAAGAGGCCACUCGAUACUGCUGUGACUGGAGUCCGGUAGAGGAGUGUGGAAUUCCUGGUGUAGCGGUGAAAUGCGCAGAUAUCAGGAGGAACACCGACAGCGAAGGCAGCACUCUGGGCCGGUACUGACGCUGAGGAGCGAAAGCAUGGGGAGCGAGCAGGAUUAGAUACCCUGGUAGUCCAUGCCGUAAACGUUGGGCACUAGGUGUGGGGUCUAGCUAACAGAUUCCGUGCCGCAGCUAACGCAUUAAGUGCCCCGCCUGGGGAGUACGGCCGCAAGGCUA
rnacentral:rRNA from 1 species